GACGUAGGGCGCGAGCGUUGUCCGGAUUUAUUGGGCGUAAAGAGCUCGUAGGCGGCUUGUCGCGUCGUCCGUGAAAACCUGCAGCUCAACUGCAGGCUUGCGGUCGAUACGGGCAUGACUGGAGUUCGGCAGGGGAGACUGGAAUUCCUGGUGUAGCGGUGAAAUGCGCAGAUAUCAGGAAGAACACCCGUGGCGAAGGCGGCGCUCUGGGACGGUACUGACGCUGAGACGCGAAAGCGUGGGGAGCGAACAGG
rnacentral:rRNA from 1 species